UAAUCGCUAUUCAACGGCUGGCAAACGAAACGCGACCUAAACUAGCAUUGGUUAAUGAACAACCAGUGUCACUCAAGCGGAACAAACCUUUACGAUGCGUUGACGUUAGCCAGAAAAUGGGUUACCGCGGUUUCGCCAGCGGCCCGCUCACCUGUGUCGCUACGGUCGCCACGAGUUUGAAGACGGAGUUCUCCACCUCGGCCUCAUUGGGCUCCGGUACCGUUUCCCCGGGGCUCUGAGAAGUCUCCGGCCGGAUCCGUUUGCACGCCAACAGCAAGGCAUCGGCGGGAUCGGUGCCCCGUUUUCUCUUGACCCGAAGGAUCGUCGUGUUUGGGUCCAUGUUGUCUGCCUGUGUGUCUGUCUGGUCUGUCUGAGGAUAGGAGGCAGACAGCAGAGAGAGAGCUCUCACUCUGCCUUUAUUUCCGGAGACAACAAGCGUCACCACGAUGGUGGAAAACUGUCAUAUGGAAAGGUGGUUUAUUUACACCCUUCACUUUAGAAACAUUAUAUUUGGUUACAGUGUUUAUAAUAACAAAGAUGAUAAUGCAUUUUUUAUUAUAAAUGUGAUUUUACUUGCUGCCAAAUUCCAUAUGCGCAAAUGUAAAUUUACACCAAAAUGUUCUUAUUGUUCAUGAAGGAAAUUGAAUAUCUGUCAACGACCUCUUCCUCACAGAAAAAUGCUGUCAGAACAAUAAAUGUAUGUGAUAGUUUGAG